GUUGACACCCAAUUUUGACCCUCCCCGAUAAUAAUUGAUUUCUGAGCUUCUUAAUAUUCAAGCGAUUUAAAAUAAUUAGUUUUGUCAAAUUCAAAUAAUUUCAAGGUUAGUGUAAAUAAUUUCAAUCGAUUUCCAUAGUAUUUGAAUAAUAAAUAUAUUUCAUACAAUUAUAUAAGCAAUUUGUAUAUUUUAUAAAUGUUUGAAAAUCAUAUCAAAAGAUUUUUUAAAAAUAAAUAUUUUUAUUAAUUUAGUUUUAGUUUGAAUUAUAGCUUUAAUUUUGAAUUAAUUAGUUUAUUGAAAAUCGAUUAGUUUAUAAUUAAGUUAAAUAUUUUUAUCUCGUUAAGAUUGAAAAGCUCAUAAAUUAAUUAUGUUAAUUUGUCCUAUUUAAAUUCUAACCAAAUCUUCUAAAAUUAAUUCAUUUGGCCACCUUUUUAAUCCAUUUGCUAAAUUGUAAUUAGUUCCUAUUAUUAUCUUAGCCAAAAUCUAACAUUUUAUUCAAAUCCAUUUUAAGACCAAUGUUUGGGCCACUUUGUAGUAGCCCAAUACAACUUUCUAGCAAACAUAACCCAAUUCUAUACCAACAACCCAUACCCACCAAUACAUACACAAUAUGUACAGCAGUACAUACGCUACCCCUAUACGUUUUCCUCUUCUUCUUCCAGCAAAGAGCUAACACGCAAACCCAGAAAUUCAGUGAAAAAUCCCAGCAAAUCCGGAAAUCUCAUCACUCUGCAAACCCAUACUCUAGCAAGCCCCAACGUCAACCUUCACGUCCCCUCUUUCCCCCCUUUUUCGCGGAAUUCAGCUUUUCCCCCAUCCCUUUACUGUUGCUUUGAAAAGGGCAGAAGAAAUUAAAAAAAAAAAUUGGUUUGAAUUUUCCAACGGAUUUCCCCCCCUUCUAAAUCGCUCAAUAUUUCCCUAUAAAUAGUUUCCGAUGUUCGAGAGCAAAGAAAAAAAAGGAGGAGAGAUUUUUAUUUUUUUUGGAGUUCGGAUUCUUAGCAAUAGUAACUUGUACACUUUUAAAAAAAAAUUCAAAUUUAGUUUGCUGAUUCUAAGUUCCGAAAGAUCGCCGCUCAGACUUUCUUGAUUUGCUAGUCGUAGUUGGAUUUGGUGGUGAAAGUCGCUAUUCUCCAACUCGUUUGCUCCCAGUUUGCUGCUCCAAGAAAGGUAAUUCCGCACCCUCUUACAUUCUGAUUCAGUACAACAUCGUGCGCUCGUUUUUUGACAUGAGUUUCUAUUAUUAAGUGUGGCUAGUUCCUUGUCUUAAUGCUUUAUUCCUCUUUAGCGUAGUUUUCCUCUGAUUCCUGGACAGUGAGCAUGAGUGAAUAUUAAUAAAGCUAGUUAUCUCCAUUUGAUUUUGUUCGAUAUCUUCUGCUGUUCAUUUGGUCUCAAUUUAGAAUAUAUUUACUGUACAAUUUUGCUUCUUUAGUGUCCUUUGAUUAUUCGCUUUGUCGUUUUGAAUUGUCGUAAUAGAAAGAUUAGGUCUUGUUUCACUCCUCGUCUUAUAAAUUGACCUCUCCUGCUAAAGUAAUCAGUUUGGAUGCCUUAUCGUAAUAAUACUCAUUUAAAGUAGCUGUGACAUUAACUUUAAUAUGUAAAAGAAGGUUGUUCAAGUUCAAAGUCGUGGGUUGUCUGACGAUGUUUCUGAUUUGGGUUCUCAAAUUCCAUAUUCAUAUAAGUUGUUAGUAUGUCUCUAUUGUUAUACACUUGAAUCUGCCGAGUUGAACAUGAUGUCAUGCUUGUGUUGGCCUACCCAAGCGUCCGUCUUUCUGUUGUUCAUUGUGAGUUAUUACUUGCUAUUGUCUUCAAAAUCGCUGGAAUCUCGAAAUCAGCAAAUGGGGUAGUAGCAUGUCGUUUUCCGGACGUGAUAACUUCCUUCCCCUUUCAUUAAGUCUUGUUACCGUCUAAUGGUCCAAUGUGUCAUGCUAGGAUUGAGUUUAUGUCUCUGUCUCAUUUAGGUGCUUGCCAAAGCAUUAUUUGCUACUUGUAGUCGAUUUAAGGACAAGGACAAGAUUUUGUUACCUUCCUAACCUUGGCUUAUUCCAACACUCGCUUUCCUUCAAUCGAAUGCCUAUCCGUGAGCUUUUAAAUUAGAUGUCCAGCACUUGAUUAUUAGGUUGCAAAUGUGAUACUUGUUUAAAUAUAUGCUAAGUCUACAUUGAUCCAUGUGCUUGAUUGUUAGACUUAAAAAGUUCUCAACAUGGUUAUCGCGCCAACUUGUCUUAAACACCAAGGAGUACAUUCACUUGGCUACUGUUAAUAGCAUUUUCUAAUUUGAAAACAGGGGUAGAUCUAUAACUAGUUUAACAUGAAGGUUGUUUGUCAUUCUAUUGUUUGUUUGUUGACGUUAACAGUUGGUUUUCUCUAUUUUUGAAUCUUAGGAUUGUCGUACUGUUCAACAUGCCUUGUUCGGAUCUUACUUUAGCUUUAAAUCUAUAUAGUUGCUAAUAUCAAAAUAUCAACCAAACUUUAUAAAAAGCUGCCAGUUACUGGAUUCGUCUAAGACAAAUCAAUUUGUUUGUUUCCUUGGAGUUGACCUCAUGCUAGGCUUAAUGGGUUAUUCUGUAAGAAAUUUAUUCAAACAAAUCUUUAUUUUAUUUGUUAGUAAGUAUUGGUUUCAAUUGUUGAUUUCUUCUUGUUAGUUUAUCUCGUGAAAUAUGCUUCAAUCUAUUUAAUCUGGGUAUGUGUAGUAUGUGUGAUUGCUAGUUGAAGUCAUUGGUCUAUCGUUGGAAUAUGUGUGGAUGUUGGUUUCCAUGUUAUUUUGUCUACUUCUUCUGCAAAUUACAAAUUGGUUUUAAAAGAAAAAAAUGUAAAGUUUUGGUAACGUGUGUUGCUUAAUGAAUAUGCAGCCAUAAUUUUGUCCAGAUUAGAAUAAUAGCUAAUUAGUUUUCAUUAUUGUUGCAAUUAUGUGAUGAUCAAAAUAUAUUCUAUUCCAUAAUAUGAUCAUAGUGAAUUUUGGCCAUGUUAUUUCCCACAAGCAGCUGCUAAGUUUGUUCUUUUUUCUUUUGUUACAUGGGAACCCUUCUUGUCUAUGGUAUGAGUCCAUCGGGACUCCCCUCUUUUGCAUUUCGUCGGGUUGAAAUCCAAAUUCUCUUUUUACUUGAGUCGGCCUUCACAAUUAUUCAAGUUUCGGAAGCUUCCACAAAAUAGUCCGCAGAUAUACAAGUCUCAAAAAGCUGAAAACAGGCUGUAUACAUAUUAUAUACAGCAGUAUACACGCAUUAUACAACAAAUUACAGGUCAAAAAUGCGAAAGUACAGGGCUGGAGCAAAAUACAUGUGUUCGGAAGCAAGAGAUACAUGAAAAACACCUAUACACACGCCGAUAUACACUAAUAUACAUCAUGUGUAUACAAAAACGGGAAUUGGGUUAAGCCCAAUAGUGGCAGCGAAUUUGGCCCAAAAAGGGGCCCAAAUUCAUUUCUCCUUUGCCCUUUAAAUUAUUUAAUUUUUAUUGAUUUAUUUAUUGUUUGUUUUCUUAUUAUUAACUCUAACUUUAGAAUUGUUAAUUAGCUUAAUUAGAUUCCCCAAAAGAUGAGUUACUUUCUUUGUGUCGGUUUAAUUCUAAUACAUUUCAUGGUUUUGGUGUUCAUUUAUUUUAUUAAUCAAAUAUAUUGGUCAAA
rnacentral:lncRNA from 1 species